UUUAGUUCCGUAGUUUUUGAGCCUUUUACUUCGUCAGUGGAGGAAACGGGGUUUUAACAAGACGUUAUUUUUCAAAUUCACGCCUUUAAGUAUAUUACUGUUAAUUGCUAAAUACAGGAAUUUUAAUGUCAGUGGCAAAUGCAAAACGGACGAUUCUCAAUCCGACAAUCCCCUUCACUGAGAUUAUACCGGGUGGUCUUCACCCAGGAGAGAUGAUUGUUAUACAGGGAUGUGUUCAUAAUGAUGCGGACAGUUCUCCAGCGAUCUACUCCGCAUUCUUCAGCACUCCAAAGAUCCUCUGCUCCUGCCAUUCCACCUGGAAGAAAGGAAGGACACGUAAAUCCACCAAGCUAAGCCACCAAACCCUAUCCGCUACCAAGAUUCUUCCCCUCUCCCUGGUGUCUUGUCUUUUCCUGCCACAGUCUUCAACAAAUCUGCUGUUAUACUGAUUUACCCUUGUGUUUCCAUUGUGUUUGCUGACAGAAGACCAGACCAUCAACAUACAACACAGCAGAAUGAGGGACUCAGCACUCUGUCACUAGCUACCCCGUUCAUGUCUGUUCAUGAGUCUGUUCCAGAGUCCACUACAGUCCAUAAGUCUGCUCCAGCUUUCAGCCCAGAAUACGCUCCUGAGACCAUGCUCCUCAUGACCUCUGCCAAAAGGAGGAAGAAGAGAGGGAGCAAGCAGUCAGUGUCUGCUCCAGUGUGUCUUCCUGAUUGUCCCUCAACUUCAGUCCCUGAAGCCAGUAAUUAGUUCGUUUCUGUUCCAGAGUCCAGUGAUGAAUCCACUCCUGCCUCAGAAUUCCAUCCAGAUUCCCUAGCCAAAAUGUCCGUCAUGCAUGAGGCCAUGCCAGAACCCAUGAGCAAGAUGGAACUUAGACUAAGGCAGACUAGAUUAAUGUCCAGUGUGGCAGAUCCCCCGU